ACAGGAUCUUGUGCUGUUACCUAGGCUGGAGUGCAGUGGUGUGAUCACAGCUCACUGCAACCUCAACCUCCAAGGCUCAAGCGAUCCUCCUACCUCAGCCCCUACCUCCUGCCUCUGUGCUGGGUAGCUGGGACUACAGAGUCUUGCUGUGUUGUUCAGUCUGGAAUGCAGUGGCACGAUCUCAGCUCACUACAGCAUCUGUCUCCUGGGCUCAAGCCGUCCUCCCAUCUCAGCCUCCCAAAUAGUUGGGACUACAAGCAUGCACCACCAUACCAAGCCCCUUAUCCUCCUCCCUUAAGGACAUAACUGGUGCAAGCUGACUCCAAGCACGUCCAGGAAUGCACUUACUGAUAAGAUACUGAGGCAAGCUGUACCAGCAGCUCCUGGGAACUCGCUCGGUUGAUGGUACCCAAAGCCCCUGCAUUUAUCUCUUUGUGAUAGUUUAAGCCCCUGCACCUGGAACUGUUUAUUUUUCUGUAACUGUUUCUGUAACCAUUUAUCUUUUAACUUUUUGCCUGUUCUGCUUCUGUAAAAUUGCUUCAGCUAGGCUCCCCCUCCCCUUUUUAAACCAAGAUAUAAAAGGAAAUCUAGCCCCUUCUUCGAGGCCGACAGAGUUUUAGAGCUCUAGCCGUCUCUCGGUCGCCGGCAGUAAAGGACUCCUGAAUUAGUCUCAGAGUGUGGCGUUUCUCUAUAACUCACUCGGUUACAACAUUAAGACUAUGAUCCAAUGCCAGCUCCCACCCUUACUGGCUGUGUGUCUAGGGUCCAGUUACUCUACCUCUCUGAGCUGCAAUGUGCUCAUCUGUAAGACAGGAAUCAUAAUAAGAUCCACCCCCUAAUUAGAUGAGUUUGCACGUGAGAAGUACCUAGAAGAGUAUCUGACAUGGAAUGGGCACGUUGCAAAUGUAAGCCCUCAUUUUGGCUAAGGCUUUUCCCAUUGCUAUCGAAAAGUCUUUUGUGCCUCUUGAGUAUGUUUUUCCAUGAUCACUUAUUUUGCUUACUGUUCAUCUGGAUGGAAAUUUUAGAUGCAAACAAGGGGGGCAGUAGUCUAAACACAUCCCUCAAAAAUCAGAAACUGGAACUGAGUUUGCAAUAGGCAAUUUUCUUGACUUUUGCUAUAAGCACCAUUAGAUAGAAUCGUUACGGAAUACAAUCAUGACUUGAGAGAAAUUUAAUCUUUUAGGGUGUGGGAGCUACAACCUUUGCAGUGACAGACAUUUCUUUGGAUGUGAGGAGUGAGAUUGAUACCACUGUCAGGCCCCUGAGCCCAAGCUAAGCCAUCGUAUCCCCUGUGACCUGCACGUAUAUAUUCACAUGGCCUGAAGCAACUGAAGAUCCACAAAAGAAGUGAAAAUAGCCUUAACUGAUGACAUUCCACCAUUGUGAUUUGUUCCUGUCCCACCCUAACUGAUACACAUAUUCUCCCCCGCCCUUAAGAAGGUACUUUGUAAUAUUCUCCCUGCCCUUAAGAAUAUACUUUGUACGCCUAUCCUAAACCUAAAGAACUACUUAUAAUCCCACCAGCCUUUGCUGACUCCUUUUUGGACUCAGCCCACCCGCACCCAGGUGAAAUAAACAGCCUUGUUGCUCA